ensembl:lncRNA
GUUCAGUUCCUCCGUCGGCUUCUCUCUCUUUAAACAACCCUGUUUUGUCUAGUGAGUUUUUAGUGCACCUUCAUUCUCCGAAAUCUACGGAGAGCCCACGCCUGUAUAUCAAUUUUGGCUUUGGCCGUUUCGUCCAGUAGGUGGGAAAGUAAUUUGUAAAUUUGAUUUGUCCGAUGUGAAGAUCGCAAAUUACUUGUUGAAAUGUAAGGCAGCCCCUUUCUUCCCCCCUUUAUCUACAUUAUUUCCCAAAAAUAAAUGCAAAUUAAUGAACGGUUUGUCAGUGUUGCUCUUCUGCUUCCAGCCCAGGUCCUGGUCUUGGGUGGGUGGAGGGAACUAAAGAGAGGAAACCUCCGUGUUAAUAACCCGCGUGUUAAUAACCUAUGUGAAGCUGCAGGCCNNNNNNNNNNNNNNNNNNNNNNNNNNNNNNNNNNNCCCCCCACCCCCCGCGUCGGUCAGCCCGGCCUCUUUCCCCAGGCGUUUUGACCCCGUAUCCCCUCUCGCCAUCGCGGACAGAGACAGGUGUCAGGACUCAAUUCCCGAAGCAAUUCCUUUCUCUUCAGAGGCAGGAGCCUGGCACUGAUUUCUUCACCCUAAUUGACGCCUGCACCAGAAAGAAGAGGGGGAGGGGAAGAGGGUCGGGAGGCGGGAAGGGAUAGCUCUGUAAUGCUCUCAGAGCUGAGCCAAAAAGGAAAAGAAAACAAAACGACAAAAAAACCGAUCCGUGUCUUGCAUGUUGGCAAGAGACAACCUUCCUUUCUGCUGAGCUGUCCCGAGUGGCUUCAUGGCGGCUGGGGGAAUCCGAGUCAUCCCUUCCACGUGCUAAGACGUCCCUUUAAACCCUCAGGCCCUGCCAGAAGUCGCCAAACUAUCUUAGUUCGUAUUAAAACGCAAAAACAAAAAUCUAGAAGAGUCAAUAGGGACGCGUUUCACUUUGUCAGGGGGAAGCAGACUUCUGGAUUGCAGCAGGGGGUCGGAAGUAGGGUUCCACCUUCCCCUGAGGAAGACAGGGAUAGAGGUGGGGGUAGGUUGAAAUGAUGCUCCAGAAGACCCAGAGUCCCGAUCCUUUUUGGUCUGAAACCUCCUGGGCGUAAGGCCCAGAAGCUGCUCAACUUGUCCACAGGAGGGAAGGAAAUAAGGAAACAACGAAAAGUUUCCUGCGAAGUGACCAACACACCCUAUUCUUUUUAUUCCGUGUGAGACCUAAGAGCACAACUUGAGGCCGGGUUUGAAGAACGACCCCUCCUCCGGGGUUCCGUGCCGAGCUGUCUCAUGGCUGCGAGACCCGGCUGGAGUGAAGCUUUCUCGGCCGCGUCCUCCCUCCGGACUCCAUAGGUCCGGCUCCGGCGCACCACGCCUUCCUAUUCUAUAAAUAAGCCCAGCAGCCCCCUACUCCGCAAAAGUCCGCAGGUGGGCGCAGCCGCGGCCUCGCUGAGCGUCACCCUGCGGCGCCGCCGGCGGAGGGCGACCCGGCGCGCAGAACCGCUGUGCACCGUGGCCCCUGCGGUGCUCGGCCCGCACGUGCCGGGGAGUCUGGGCCGGUGGCCGGAGCAAAGAGGCUUCUCGCUCUCGCUGCAUGGGCUUGGGCGCCCGGGGGCAGGGUCUCCUUGCUCGACCGACCUGCCUGGCCUGCCCUAGUGCCGCCCUGGCUCACGCAGCCGCCACUAGGGCCGCUCCAGGCCUAUGUUCUGGGCUGCCCGCGCCCGCAGCUCCUUGAGGCGGGUUCUGUGCCUCCCAUCAGUCCUCCUGACUUCGCGGUGGAAUGAAACCACGAGACGCGGCUCUGCACUCGCUUGGACAACUGUGUGAUCUCCGGAACAAG